ensembl:snRNA U6 U6 spliceosomal RNA
AUGCCUGGCAGCACAUAUACUAAAAUUGGAAUGAUACAGAGAAGAUUAGCACGGCCCCUGCGCAAGGAUGACACACAAAUUCGUGAAGCAUUCCAUAUUUAA